AUAGUAUUUAUCGGAACAGGAACAUUUGGAUUAUUGGCAAUUACAAUAGUAAUCGAUUUUCAAGUUUUAUUGUUUGCUACUACGAUAGUAUUUAUUGCAAUGACUACUGCAGGUUGUGUGGUAUCAUCAAAACUGGAAGAUAUUAGUGCUAAAUUGCAUAAUGCAACUUUCUACGCGAUUCCAUGGGACGGUGACGUGGCUCUUGCUAAGAAAAUGCAGUUUAUGAAUAUGCGUACCAGGAUUUAUUUUGAAAUUCCCAUCGGGGAUAGUGCAGUGGUUUCAAAUGAAUAUAUUUUGAAGGUAAAA